UACGUAGGCAGCAAGCGUUGUUCGGAAUUACUGGGCGUAAAGAGUGUGUAGGCGGUGCUCUAAGUUUGGUGUGAAAUCUCCCGGCUCAACCGGGAGGGUGCGCCGAAAACUGGAGUGCUCGAGUAUGGGAGAGGUAAGCGGAAUUCCUGGUGUAGCGGUGAAAUGCGUAGAUAUCAGGAGGAACACCUGUGGUGUAGACAGCUUACUGGACCAUCACUGACGCUGAGACACGAAAGCGUGGGUAGCAAACAGG
rnacentral:rRNA from 1 species